rnacentral:tRNA from 1 species
GUGAACAUAGUUUAAUUAAAACCC